rnacentral:lncRNA from 1 species
AAAACAAAAAGGAUGUAAACUCGGUUUGCUCCAGGCAUAGGUCUACCAUUGCCCGUCUAUUGGGGUAGAUAAAAAUAGAUAUAUAUUGUCAUAUGUUGAAGCAAAGAUCUCACCUGUUAGUAAGCACAAAUUGUAAGCUAUAGUCAAUAGAUUUGUUGAUUGAAUCAUAAAGUGUAGAGGUAGGUAUAUCUUCUCAUAUAUUAGGGUAGAGAUGCCACCUCUUGGUACGCAUAAUUUCCUGAGUAAUGUUUAAUAGACUUCUAGGCUUAAUUAUAAAGUGUAUAAAUUCAUAUUCUCAUCCAUUUCAGAUUGUAAGGGUGUGUUUGGUAUUGUUUUUAUAUAUAGUGUUUUUUAUUUAGUUUUGUAGAACAAGAAUGAUUGGCUUUUGAUAAAAAUAAAAACAUGUUUCGUAACUCGUUUUUAAACUAAUGUCUGAAAAUGAUAAUUGUAAAAAUGUGUUUGCCAGUUUUUCUGAAAAAAUAAUA